rnacentral:rRNA from 1 species
UACGUAGGGAGCUAGCGUUGUUCGGAAUUACUGGGCGUAAAGCGCACGUAGGCGGCGCGGUAAGUCGGGUGUGAAAUCUCGGAGCUUAACUCCGAAACUGCAUUCGAUACUGCCGUGCUUGGGGACUGGAGAGGAGACUGGAAUUUACGGUGUAGCGGUGAAAUGCGUAGAUAUCGUAAGGAAGACCAGUGGCGAAGGCGGGUCUCUGGACAGUUCCUGACGCUGAGGCACGAAGGUCAUGGGAGCAAACGGG